AUUCUAAUAGUUUCAAAACAUUAAAUUGCAAAUUUAAAAUAAUAACUAUAAAAUC
rnacentral:tRNA from 1 species